AAAACUUUCAACAACGGAUCUCUUGGUUCCGGCAUCGAUGAAGAACGCAGCGAAAUGCGAUAAGUAAUGUGAAUCGCAGAAUUCAGUGAAUCAUCGAAUCUUUGAACGCACAUUGCGCCCCUUGGUAUUCCGAGGGGCAUACCUGUUCGAGCGUCAUUGCACCCCUCACGCCCCCCCCCCUUCUGGGGCGUGGUCUUG
rnacentral:rRNA from 1 species